rnacentral:rRNA from 1 species
UACGGAGGGGACUAGCGUUGCUCGGAAUCACUGGGCGUAAAGCGCACGUAGGCGGCUUGUUAAUUCAGGGGUGAAAUCCUGGAGCUCAACUCCAGAACUGCCUUUGAUACUGGCGAGCUUGAGUUCGGGAGAGGUGAGUGGAACUGCGAGUGUAGAGGUGAAAUUCGUAGAUAUUCGCAAGAACACCAGUGGCGAAGGCGGCUCACUGGCCCGAUACUGACGCUGAGGUGCGAAAGCGUGGGGAGCAAACAGG